ACAAGGUGCUCCGAAAGAGGAUUCAAACCGGCGAUAAUGAGGCCGAGGUCUGCCCGGAGAUGCUCAGGUGUAUCAAAAGGUUUCUUUGUACUUAAUUACACGCCGCAGCGGCGACCAAGAAGCGCGUGGCCCAGCUGACCAAGAAGGCCAGGAACGUGGCCGCCGGUGACAAGGAGCCCGGAUUUAAGUAUCUUUGCUGGGUGUCGAUGGUGCUGACACAUUAUUAAAGGGAAGAGGAUCAACUACCCGAUUUUCAUCAGUGAUGACAAAGGUAGAUGCCGUCGGAAACGCCACUGUGCUAGAAUGCCAGGGAUUAAAGUUGUGUGCAGUGAACGUGUGAGAGGACCAAAAAAAGAGUUGACUUGCUGUGUAAUUUUGUGAUAUAACUUCUUCUCUUUUAUCGAUGGAGGAGGUAGUCAGAAGUUGUCAUUUUGAAACGCCUCCACUUCUUCUGCAAAAGAUUGGUGAAUUUUCCAAAGGGACGGAAGAAGUCGAUCAAAGGAUCUACUCACCUGAGGGCCUCGAAGUGUUGGAGCUUGGAUCUGGGGGGUGCAUUGGUGUUUACGCUAAAACAAGUCGGUUGCUGCAAGUCUUGCAAGAAAUUUGGGUGACAAGGCGUCUGGACGGAACUAUCUAUCCAUCUAUCUAUCUAAUAUAGUUUACUACUAUACCAUGUAAAAUCAGUGUCUCCACUACCACUAUGGCUUGGUGUGGUCAUGCUAUGAUGUUAGCGGACACGAAUGUUUAGUGACAUGUUGAUUCAGGAAAUUUGCAUUUGGUUCAGCAUGUAGUUGGGCUCUAUGCUCUUAGGAGAUAAUGUUCUGUGAAUUCUUUUCCAACUGUUAUUGCCACAAAAUUGAAAUUUGGUAUUGACAUUAUGAAGAUUACC